rnacentral:rRNA from 1 species
CCUACGGGUGACUGCAGUGAGGAAUAUUGGUCAAUGGGCGGGAGCCUGAACCAGCCAAGUCGCGUGAGGGAAGACGGUCCUACGGAUUGUAAACCUCUUUUGCCGGGGAGCAACGGGGUCCUUGCGAGGGCCCGAUGAGAGUACCCGGAGAAAAAGCAUCGGCUAACUCCGUGCCAGCAGCCGCGGUAAUACGGGGGAUGCAAGCGUUAUCCGGAUUUAUUGGGUUUAAAGGGUGCGUAGGCUGUGAGGUAAGUCAGCGGUGAAAUGCCCCCGCUCAACGGGGUGAAGUGCCAUUGAUACUGCCUUGCUGGAAUGCGGAUGCCAUGGGAGGAAUGUGUGGUGUAGCGGUGAAAUGCAUAGAUAUCACACAGAACACCGAUUGCGAAGGCAUCUCACGAAUCCGCGAUUGACGCUGAUGCACGAAAGCGUGGGUAUCAAACAGGAUUAGAUACCCCAGUAGUC